GACGUAGGGUGCAAGCGUUGUCCGGAAUUAUUGGGCGUAAAGAGUUCGUAGGCGGUUACUUAAGUCUGGUGUUAAAGCCCGAUGCUCAACGUCGGCAUGGCAUUGGAAACUGGGUAGCUAGAGUGUGUCAGAGGUUACGGGAAUUCCUGGUGUAGCGGUGAAAUGCGUAGAUAUCAGGAGGAACACCGGUGGCGAAGGCGGGUCUCUGGGCCGAUACUGACGCUGAGGAGCGAAAGCGCGGGGAGCAAGCAGG
rnacentral:rRNA from 1 species